UAUGCCUACGGGGGGCAGCAGUGAGGAAUAUUGGUCAAUGGCCGUAAGGCUGAACCAGCCAAGUCGCGUGAGGGAAGACGGUCCUAUGGAUUGUAAACCUCUUUUGUCGGGGAGCAAAAGGCGCCACGCGUGGCGUUCCGAGAGUACCCGAAGAAAAAGCAUCGGCUAACUCCGUGCCAGCAGCCGCGGUAAUACGGAGGAUGCGAGCGUUAUCCGGAUUUAUUGGGUUUAAAGGGUGCGCAGGCGGAAGAUCAAGUCAGCGGUAAAAUUGAGAGGCUCAACCUCUUCGAGCCGUUGAAACUGGG
rnacentral:rRNA from 1 species